rnacentral:lncRNA from 1 species
GAAAAAUAAGGACCCAAGUUAAUUGUAUGAUUAAACUGGGAAAUUUUCCAUUCUGGCAGUGUUCUGUUCAAUAACACUCAACUAUAAUGGUAGGCCUUAGCACAUCUGAUCUGAAAAACACAGGAAGAGGAAAUGCGUUGUUUAUCUGACUAAAUAUAGUUGGAUUGGAUGUCUUCUUUCCAUAAAAUGGUCAGAGAGGAUGGCUGAUAUAUAUUGGUGUGGAUUUUCAAGUGCUGUAAACAAUAUAGUUCCUUGUAUUCCAGUAGUUUUAACAGUAUUUGCAGCCCAUUGAGACCCCAUUGCGGAAUACAAAUCUGAAUUAAACGAGCUUUGGGUUGGAUAAUGAGAGAUGCAGGGUACUCAUAUUUCCUCUAGACUAGAUGCACAUUGUAAGCCUUUCAGUUGUGCUAAGGGUGAGAAGAAUCUGGGUGAGUUCAGACCUGAAAAUAUCAGUUGAAUGCACUUACUAUUACUUAUAAUCUGUUUUGUUUUAAAAGAAGAAUCCAUUAAUUACCAGUUUAUUUCAUGUUUACAGCAUGUAUGUAUUUGCACUGUGUACUGUGGGAGAGAGGGAAACACCUUCCAGAGGCCUCCUGCAUCAGAAAUGACAAGAAAAGCACUGGAAAGAGCUGUCAGCGUGCUGGUGGCUGACAGGCCGAACUGCUUUGUCUGUAACUUGUGGUCGUGACUGGUUGGAGCUCAAAACUGCUGCAUUACAUGCAGUAUUGUUUCUGUCUGUAACUGUGAAGGAAACUCAUGCAGAAUCCACACAUGGCAUGAAAUAAUUUUUCUAAUGCAUGACUUGCUGACUUUGGGCAAAAGCCUAUUUUCUUCCUGCUCACCGAGGAACCGAAGCAGGCAAAUACACUCCCUUCUCCUCUGCAGAGCAGAGAAAGGAUUUCUGAAGCCCAUGCAAAGUGAUUCACAGCGAGAUGCAGUCCUAAAGGCCAGAAAGCCCCAGCAUGCAGACAUUCUCCUCCUCCUUCUCUAUUUUCCUCUGAAAUGAGAGCACAGCAGUAACUCUGACAACUGGUCUCUGGCUGCUGAGUAAUAAGCUGUAGUUUAAGGUCAGGAGUAUUUUCCCUUUUGCACUUAAUGGAGUACUGUGUAUUCGAAUUGGAUCUCAGUGUUUGCUUUUGUAGAUACGGUGGUCCCGAUUUGCAUCCUCCACCACUUCCUCCUCUCUGUCUAUAUUCAUAUCUCCCAAGGAGAGAAGAUAAUUGUUAAGAUUCUGUAAUGUUAAAUAUCUCUGCCCUUACCUAAAUACACACACAUGUAGAGCGCAAUGAAAUAUAGUUACUUUCUUUAAUUUAUUAUUUAUUGGAAGAUAAUUUUGCCUGCAUUUCGUAGUAAUGAAAAUAUAGUAUUGAUGAAAGAACAGUAAAACUGUUGAGAGGUAUUCACAGUGCCUGGGAUGAUCGUAUAAAUUACAGAUGGGAAGGGCAAGUGCAGGGCUCAGUUCCGUGCCCUGAGCAGUGCUGCGUUAUGCUUGCGUUCUCCAUCAGGCUUUUGAUAUCCCAGGGCUGAGUACGUGUGGUAUGUGGCAUGACACAAACUUGUUGGGUCAAGUGACUUAAGGUUUGUGAUGUAUUAAAAUUAGGUAGGAAAUGAAAGCUGUAGCAGAAGGUGAACAUUUCAAUAACUGUACGUGCUCAGUAGCUUGAAUUUCUGUAUUGUUAUUUCACUGUUGAAAAGGGAGGUAUUGAAGCACAGGCGGGUUGUAGACGGUAUUUUCAAGCUUAGCAGUCUGAGCUUUUGGGUUUUUUUCCUUCUGCGGUGAAGAGCAUCUGCAUUUUUUCAGUGGAUACUCAUUUGAAAAAUGACUUAAUGCAGCAUUUAAAAUGUUGAAUGGUAACUGAGGAUUCCACAGCACUUUUCAUGAAUUAAGGUGGAAUUCAUCUGACUGUAUGUUGAUGUCUGCAUUUGAGCAAGACACUGCAGUAGCUGACCAGUACAGCUAACGAGUGCAUGUCAGCAGCUCAUCCUAACUGCCUGCAGUCUAUCAGACGAGCUGCACCCUGAACUCCACUGACUGUUACAGGUGGUUCGCAGACACUGGAGUUAGGGCCAUCUGAAGUUAGGUGAGAUGAAGCCUCACCUUGGAGCGUGCUGGCUGGCUGGCAGCACUAGGCGUUGUGUCCCAUUAGGCUUUCCUUGUGGUUAGCCAUGGUACUGUCCUCCACUCCCCACCUGGCACUCACUGGGAGGUGUGAGGCCUUGGUUUGGUUUGGUUUUGGUUUUGAUAGUUAUUCUAGAGCAGGUGGCACUACAGUGGUGGAUAAAGUAACUGAUCCUUGGUUAUAGAACUGUGGCAUAAAUAUGGUUUGGG